GUCUACGGCCAUACCACCCUGAACGCGCCCGAUCUCGUCUGAUCUCGGAAGCUAGGCAGGGUCGGGCCUGGUUAGUACUUGGAUGGGAGAUUUGUCAUUUUUUAACUUAAGAGUCUCUGAAGAGCCC
rfam:Mesocricetus auratus contig165484, whole genome shotgun sequence.